CUGCUUAUUUCUGGGGAUCCCUCAGACUCCCCUCCCCCACUCUUAUUUUUCCUUUCUCUAUCAGGGUGUAGCUCAUGUUCCAAAUUUGGGGGAAAAAGGAACUACAAGGAAAUCCUACCACGGUUCUAUAGGGUUGUGCAGAAACUGGAGAUAAUCAGUGUCAUCAUGUAUCAUGGUGUGACACACUUGUUAAUUACCGAGAAUUCAGAAAUAAAGGAAAAGGGCGCUACCAGAGCACUAACAGGAAGUAUCCAUAUUUACAGGACAGGCACUGGUCACCAUGGCUCCCAAAGCAGGACUCACAGUUGGGAGCACACUUUCUGCAUCGCUUCUUGUCAGCAUGGUAGUGGCCAGAGGGGCAGCUGGAGACACAGACCCUGCAUUGUGGAAGGGGAGAGUUUCUUUAAGGUGGAGGAAUAAUGUGUAACAUGGCUCUAAGCACGGAGAUGAACUCCUAUUACCGAAGUAUCAAGAAUGUAAAUCCAGCCGUGGCCUGGUCUUCAAAAAAGC